GCCAUACCACCCUGAACGCACCCGAUCUCGUCUGAUCUCGGAAGCUAAGCAGGGUCGGGCCUGGUUAGUACUUGGAUGGGAGGAUAAAUAUUCCUCACUAAAACAAGUAUGAGUCUGGGAUACAUAGAUAA
rnacentral:rRNA from 1 species